GUCUUGGUGCCAGAGUGGUUAAUGGGUAUGACUCGAAUGCUUUCAAUCCGAUAUCAUAUGGUUUCGGCCGCGUAGGUUCAAAUCCUGCCCAAGACG
rfam:Pseudogymnoascus sp. 23342-1-I1 unplaced genomic scaffold scaffold_103, whole genome shotgun sequence.